rnacentral:lncRNA from 12 species
UAAAAAUACAAAGUAAUGAAACAGAUAAGCUUCCAGAAGCCAGACUAAUUAUCCUCAGGUUGUGAUUAAUGAGUUUUCACUUAGUAAAAAUAUCGAUAUACAAUAUAAGAACAAGCAGCAAAUGCUAUUUAAAAAUUAUAAGCCUUGUGACUUCCAUUAAGAUUUACAGGUUUUCUGACUCAGCCUGCUGAAGCUGGGGAUGGCAGUGCUCAAGGUCGAGUGUUCCUGGGAUCAUGAUGGCCAAACCUCAUCAAUGCCCACUUCAGACUCUAAGGGAGUUUGGUGGGAGUGACAGCAUCUGUGGAGAUGAGCCACUCCUGGAAUUAAGUACAAGAUUGUGUUUGUGCCUGGAUCAAGGAACUCUGCACCAGUCUUGAACUUGUUAAAGAUGGAAAUCAGAAUAACCACUGCAGUAUUGAAAUGGUAAAAUGAGAACAGAAUGGCAAUUGGCCAGUGUUUAUGAAUCAGGGAAUAUGAUCAUGAAAUCAUAAGAAUAACCACCAAAAGGUAAAUAAAUU